UGGGGGGGGGGUCCAACACGUUUGAGUGGUUUCUUCUGCUGUACCGGCGGUAUCUCUGAUUCAUCAGCGCGGGUCGAACCACCGAUUUCCUCAGCCAUGAGGAGGUUUACGUUGGCUCCGACAUUCUAAUGAAAGCUGCAAAGCUUCGCGACAUUAUGCGGAGCCAAAAUGAGAUGAAAGUGGUGAGGGAAAUGGCGAGAUUCUUUUGGACGCCUGCAGAAAUGCAGGAGAGGAGCCUGACAGGGCAGACGGCAGGCGGACAGCAUGGGCAAGCUCCAAGCCACGCCACAGAAAGCGGAUGCAAUAAUGAAUGUCGUCCAAAAGGUCAUCGAGGACCCCCCUUCCGACGUCGAGGUGGCCAAGAGGGUGGCACUCGGGCGCAAGGCUCUGCGCAACAUCUUUGCGGAGAUGGGCCGCUUAGGACAACGGAAGCAGACGCCAGUCUGAUGAGGCUAAGAUUUCUUUCUUUUAUCAGUAGUGGAAGUGCUGUUGUACAAAUAUUAGAUCAUAAGGUUAGACGUGUCAUUUUAAGGUGCGAUGUGUCCAGGCAGACCGUUCUCCAUGUCUUGAUAGAGUGCCGCGAAGCUGAAACCAAAUGCAAACACCACUUCCCUUUAAUCCACCGAGAGCAUAUCCCUUUACAUCCGUCCUUAUUUCUUGGUGUGGAGCCUUUCUUCGACAGUAAGGAAGUCUUAAAGCAUCUAAAUGACGUUGCUUUGAAUGUCAUAAUGCCAAGAAACUCGUAGCACACCCUCUCUAAUGAUGGUGGUGCUGCGAUCCUCAUACAUUGUGUAGCACAAGCCUUCAGACCCUUCUGAACAAGGGCUCUGCUAAGGCCGUUGUUUCUCCUGUCUGUACUUUACAAAUACAAUGUAUUAUCUAAUACGCAAUUACAGCAUGCGACAAAUCUCCAACUGCGUGUACAUGAAGGAUCGAUUCAAAGAUUUUUUGAGGCGGUCAAGUGGUGAGGUAAUUAGCUCAUUUAAUGAAGCCAUUCGGAAGUUCCAGGGGUCAUUUAACAGCAGCUUUUCUUUAUGCAAUUACGACAGCACUUUCAUCUCUGAUUUAUUUGUUUAUUUAUUUAUUUAGCUAUUUAUUUAUUUAUUUAUUUAUUUAUGAUAUGAAAGG
rnacentral:lncRNA from 1 species